rnacentral:rRNA from 1 species
AUACGGAGGAUGCGAGCGUUAUCCGGAUUUAUUGGGUUUAAAGGGUGCGUAGGCUGUGCGUUAAGUCAGGGGUGAAAUGCCGUCGCUCAACGACGGAGCUGCCCUUGAUACUGGCGUGCUGGAGUACGGAUGCCGUUGGAGGAAUGAGUGGUGUAGGGGUGAAAUGCUUAGAUAUCACUCAGAACACCGAUUGCGAAGGCAUCUGACGAAUCCGUCACUGACGCUGAGGCACGAAAGCGUGGGGAUAGAACAGGAUUAGAUACCCUGGUAUUCCACGCCGUAAACGAUGAUGACUAACCGUCGGCGAUAGACAGCCGGUGGCCAAGCGAAAGCGAUAAGUCAUCCACCUGGGGAGUACGUCGGCAACGAUGAAACUCAAAUGAAUUGACGGGG